AGUGCGUACUAGGUUCUUCGGCUUUUCGUCGGUUUUCUUGUUGUGGCCUUUAUUGGUGUCGGCAAGUGGCUGACAAUUUUACUUUGAACAAAUCAGAGUGCUCAAAACAGGCGUUUCGCUUGUAUGUUUUUGCAUGGAAUAAUAGAAUAUGACUUCGGUCUAGUUUUAUUGGUUUUAUUGAUCGUUGUAAUGAUUAAAAGAGACAAACGGGGGCAUUCGUAUUGUUGCGUGAGAGGUGAAAUUCUUGGACCGCAGCAAGACGACCUACAGCGAAAGCAUUUGCCAAGCUUGUCUUCAUUAAUCAAGAACGAAAGUCAGAGGAUCGUAGGUGAUCAGAUACCGCCCUAGUUCUGACCGUAAACGAUGCCAACUAGCGAUUCGCCGGUGGAAUAUUUGCCCUGGCGAGGAGCUUCCCGGAAACGAAAGUCUUCCGGUUCCGGGGGAAGUAUGGUUGCAAAGCUGAAACUUAAAGGAAUUGACGGAAGGGCACCACCAGGAGUGGAGCCUGCGGCUUAAUUUGACUCAACACGGGAAAACUCACCCGGCCCGGACACUAUAAGGAUUGACAGAUUGAUAGCUCUUUCAUGAUUUGGUGGAUGGUGGUGCAUGGCCGUUCUUAGUUCGUGGAGUGAUUUGUCUGGUUUAUUCCGAUAACGAGCGAGACUCUAGCCUACUAAAUAGUUCGCUCAUUGUUUAUUGUGUAGCGGUACUUCCUAGAGGAAUUUUCGG
rnacentral:rRNA from 1 species